AACAAAUGGUUAAUGUAUUUGGCUGCUAACCAAAAGAUUGGAGGUUUAAGUCCCCC
rnacentral:tRNA from 1 species